rnacentral:rRNA from 1 species
GACGAACGCUGGCGGCGUGUCUAAUACAUGCAAGUAGAACGCUUAAGGAGGAGCUUGCUUCUCUGGAUGAGUUGCGAACGGGUGAGUAACGCGUAGGUAACCUGCCUGGUAGCGGGGGAUAACUAUUGGAAACGAUAGCUAAUACCGCAUAAUAGCAGUUAUUGCAUGAUAACUGUUUGAAAGGUGCAAUUGCACCACUACCAGAUGGACCUGCGUUGUAUUAGCUAGUUGGUGGGGUAACGGCUCACCAAGGCGACGAUACAUAGCCGACCUGAGAGGGUGAUCGGCCACACUGGGACUGAGACACGGCCCAGACUCCUACGGGAGGCAGCAGUAGGGAAUCUUCGGCAAUGGACGGAAGUCUGACCGAGCAACGCCGCGUGAGUGAAGAAGGUUUUCGGAUCGUAAAGCUCUGUUGUAAGAGAAGAACGAGUGUGAGAGUGGAAAGUUCACACUGUGACGGUAUCUUACCAGAAAGGGACGGCUAACUACGUG